UAAUAAUAAUAAUAAUAAAAGAAGACGUUGUGUUCCUGUUUAAUGUUUCUGCUUUGAUUAUUUCAGUAUAGAGUUACAUAAUGUCCAUUUGUAUUUCCCACUUAUUAAUAUCGAUCAAUUGAAAUAUCUUCUUAUGGUCUUGGAAGUCGGAAUCUUUGAGGUGAAAGCCAAAUUGGAACAUUUGCCCAUUUUAAGACAUCUUUGAAACCUGGAAAAUAUGCUGUCAACUAGCAUAUCUACUUUGUAACAUCACUAAUAGAAACGAGGAAUAUAAAAUGAGAAAGUGGUAUUUUAAGUACGAAUUAUCUUUAUGCUCGGGCUCCCAUGGAAGGCGUGAGUGAGAAUUAAUCAAACAAAACGAUUUUAUUCUAGAAACCUUUGUUUGUAGUUACUGCUAAUUUCAUUUCUGCUUCAGCUAAAUUAGCACAGAGGUGUGCUUUACCACGCAUAAUACAUCACCAAAGCCAAAAAAAUAAAAAACCCUAGUUCCAAAUGCCAACCUGCAUGAAUCCAUCUUCAGUAGCACAUCCCCUGAACAUCCCAUUGGUGUUAUACCUACAAGCCACAUCCCCAUUUCUAGACACCGCUAUUAACCCCGCUUUCCCUUCAUCAAGCCUCUCAUUUAUCACAAAAUCCACAGCCUGUUGCAACCCCAACCCUUUGUACUCCAUCACAGCCGCUACGUCUCGGGCUAGGGUCCCGCGGAUGAUGGCUUCACCUUCCCCUGUGCAUGAAAUUCCGCAGAGGUCACACGCGUAGGUCCCAGCGCCAAUCAGGGGCGAGUCACCUAUACGACCGGUCAUUUUGUUCAUUAGCCCACCUGUUGACGUGGCGGCAGCACAUCGACCCUCGCUGUCCACGGCCACACAACCAACGGUUUCCGGUGCAUACACGCUGAUUGGAAGACCGUUCAUUUGCAAGGGAUUGUCCAUGGCCGCAGCAGCACCGGCGCUGCAUGUCUCCAAGGGGAUCCUGUAAUCAAACAGAAUGGAAUUGGCUUCCUUUGCCAAUUUCAACAUCCCCACGUUAUCCUCGGUGAUGAAGUAGUCAUUUUGCAUCAGCUCCACACCCUGUUCAAAUCCAAUGUCUCUCAGUUCCAUUAAUUUAUCAAUUAGAGCAUAUUAUUUUAACGUUUAUUACUAUGAAGUAUAUGACCUAAUUGAAGGCCUUUAAAGUUAAUUCACCAGAUCAUUCUCUUUCAAAAUGGCGAAAUGUCCUAAAGAAUGAAAUCUCUCCUUCUUUCAUGCAACAAAAACUGUUUUCUUGUUUUUUGACUCGUGAGAUAACUUAAACCAGAGUGUUAAAAAACUGAAGAGGACGUGUAAACCUGUUGUCUGGCAAAUUCCUCUGCGCCGGAGAAGGCCAGAUACGAAUGGGGAGAUUUCUCCAUCACAAGUCUGGCAAGGGAGACUGGGUUUUUAACAGUGGUUAAGCCCGAUACGGCGCCGCAUCUUCUCUUGGGUCCAUCCAUAAUGCUAGCUUCCAUCUCCACCGUUCCUUUCUCGGUUAGAGCAGAUCCUCGGCCAGAAUUAAACAGAGGAUCGCUUUCUAGUUCUCUCACCUGAAACAACAAACAACAGAAGAUUAAAACAAAAAAAAAUUAAAGAUAAGGGAACCGGUAAAGCAUCUAAUGAUAACUUUCCCUUUCUAACCAGAAACCAAAGUGUUUCGCGAGUAUAACGAGAGCCCCUUUCAAAACCAAUGAAAGUAAGAACAAAAGGCCGAUUGAUACAGAAGAUAUUUCAGGAUAACCAAGGACAUCAAUUGGACAUCAAAAGAAAGCGUAUAAAGGACGCCGAUCAUUGAUUUUUCUUUCAUUCCUGUUAGUGUACCGUAAAAUUAUAAGAAAACAAACGGAAAACCUGGUAUAGUGGUGAAGUUGAAAGGAUUAUCUUUUUCUAUACACGCAAGAAGUUGGUAAUCAAAAUGGUUCAAGAUACAGAUUUCUUAAAAAAGAAAUUGAAGAAAAAGAGUGAAAAUAGGAGAGAAACGCACAACGAGUUCAACGACAUCAAUGGCAGGGAGAUUGGAGCGAAGAGCGGAGAUGCCCAGAUUGAGGCAGCGAGUUAGGAGUUGCUUGGCCUCUUCUUGACGUUGUUGUGGGAGGUUUGGGUCCACACCAGCGCCACCAUGCACCGCUAUUGCCCACCUCCCCAUUUCUCUCUGGCUUUUUCCUUCCCUUGUGCGUGUGUGUGUUGUGAAUGUGUGUGCG
rnacentral:misc_RNA from 1 species